UGGCGAGCCGAUAUUCGUGCGGUGGACUGGAAACGAUUGCUGCCUGCAGCGAUUUUACAGAAUAUAUAUAGAAUUAGUUCGCGUAAACAUCAGAACAACGUUCGUUUAUCUUCGUUCUAAAACAAUUUCGUUUGAUAUUUCGAGAACGAUAAGGAAAGGUUCACAUUCGCCGGCUUUUUUCUCCAGUCCCCAAAGCGCCGGAGGAGCUCAUGUAUCUACACGUGGCUGUGCAUUAGUGUGCUUUAUCCUUAGUGGUGCAUAUCCACGUAUUAACCAGCGUAUUAGAAUGACCGUCCGUGGGUGUGGGAGGUGGAGAGGAGCCCAUCUUCCCUUCACUCGGCGAUGCAUCAUAGAGAAGAAGAGGCAUCAUCCCGUUCAUCGCUAAAACAGCUUUAAAUUUUAAUUGGAUCUACG